GAUGAACGCUGGCGGCGUGCUUAACACAUGCCAGUCGAACGGAAAGGCCCCUCCUUUGUGGGGUGCUCGAGUGGCGAACGGGUGAGUAACACGUGGGUGACCUGCCCUUGACUUUGGGAUAACCCCAGGAAACUGGGUCUAAUACCGGAUAGGAGCAUGUGCUGGAUGGCGUUGUUGAGAGCGUUUCGGUGUUGGAUGAGCUCGCGGCCUAUCAGCUUGUUGGUGGGGUAGUGGCAUACCAAGGCGUCUACGGGUAGUCGGCCUGAGAGGGUGUACGGCCACAUUGGGACUGAGAUACGGCCCAGACUCCUACGGGAGGCAGCAGUGGGGAAUAUUGCACAAUGGGCGCAAGCCUGAUGCAGCGACGCCGCGUGGGGGAUGACGGCCUUCGGGUUGUAAACCGCUUUCGCUUGGGACGAAGCGCGAGUGACGGUACCGGGAGAAGAAGCACCGGCUAACUACGUG
rnacentral:rRNA from 1 species